AUGCAUCCUACCCUUGAUGAGUCUAUUGACAUGAUUAGGAAUGUUAGAACUGUUAAUCUUAUCACUAGAGGCUUGCCUAGAAACUUGAUUAUAAAACUGCCUACUCUUGAGUGUGCCUACACUAUAUGGAAAUUUCUUGAGGAACGAUUUCCUGAUUCUUUGAAAAAUCUUGAUGAAAUUCUCCAUAAGUCUAUUGCUUUGAGUAAGAUGAAUACUAGUGAUCCUAUGUUUGGUGAUCGUCUAUUUGAGCUUACAAACCUUAUGCGUGCCAAAGGAAAUCUUGGUAUUAUUAGUGACAUUAUUUCCGAAGCUAUAAGAAUUCAUAGACAAGAUUAUUGUCAAACUCAUUCUAAUGAAUCACCCUCUCUAGGAUUUGAUCCACCACAUGACGAUGUUGAACAUGGAUACUAUGAUGAGGAUGAUGAUAGUGACUUCGAUCUUGAUGAUGCAAUGAGACAUUUUGGUCUUAUGGCAAAUCUUCGGGGAUAUAUGUCAGGAGGAAAGGAAUGGGUCCUUGACAGUGGAUGUACUGAUCACAUGACCGAAGAUAAAGACAUGUUUCGUGAGCUUGCUGAUAAUGAUAGUCCUCGAAAGUAUGUCACUUUCGGUGACAACUCAAAGGGUAAGGUGGCUGGCCUCGGUAAGGUGGCCAUCUCACAUGAUAGCUCCAUACAAAAUGUCAUGCUCGUUGAAUCUCUUGGAUACAACUUACUUUCAGUAUCUAGACUUGCUGACUUUGGUUUCAAUGUCUUAUUUACUGAAAUUGAUUGCCAAGUGUUUCGUCGAGACAAUCAUAAAAUGGUCUUUACCGGCAUACGUAGAGGUGAUCUAUACAUUGUUGAUUUCACUAAAAAGGCUCAACCUAAAACUUGCUUCAUUGCUAAAUCCUCAAAAGGUUGGUUAUGGCAUAGACGACUAGGUCACGUUGGCAUGAGAAACCUUGACAAGCUUAUUAAAGGAAAUCAUAUCCUUGGAGUUAAUGAUGUCAUUUUUGAUAAGGAUAGACUUUGCAGUGCUUGUCAAGCAGGUAAACAGGUUGGAGGAAGGCAUCCCGUGAAGAACAUCAUGACCACGAAGAGGCCACUCGAGCUACUUCACAUGGAUCUCUUUGGUCCCAACUCUUACAAGAGUCUCGGUGGAAAUUCUUUUGGUCUAGUUAUAGUUGAUGAUUUUUCAAGAUUUACGUGGGUGUUCUUUCUUAAUGAUAAAUCGCAGGUUCAGAAGAUCUUCAAAAACUUCGCUAGGAAGGCCCAAAACCAAUUUGAAGUGAAGAUCAAGAAGGUUCGCAGCGACAACAGAACGGAGUUCAAGAAUGCAAAUGUGGACACCUUUCUUGAUGAAGAAGGGAUUUCACACGAGUUCUCGGCUACAUACACACCUCAACAAAAUGGAGUUGUUGAGAUGAAGAACCGGACGCUCAUCGAAAUGGCGAGAAUGAUGCUUGAUGAGUACAAGACGCCGAAGCACUUUUGGGAAGAAGUGGUUGAGACAACUUGUCAUGCAACAAAUCGCUUGUAUCUUCACAAGCUACUCGGCAAGACGGCAUACAAGCUCCUCACCGGUAACAAACCCCAAGUUGGAUACUUUCGAGUAUUCGGUUCAAAGUGCUACAUUCUUGAUAAGCAUCGUCGUUCUAAAUUUGCUCCUAAGUCUCAUGAAGGUUUCCUACUAGGUUAUGGCUCAAACUCUCACACUUACCGUGUCUACAACAAUUUCACCCGAAAGGUUGAAGAGACGGUAGAUGUGAAGUUUGAUGAAUCUAACAGCUCGCAAGUAGAGCAACUGCCAAUUGAUGUAGGAGACAAAGAUCCUUCGGAAGCAAUCCAAGACUUGUCUAUUGGCAAGGUCCAUCCAACGGAGGUGAAGGAGAGUACCUCGUCCGUCCAAGUGGAAGCUUCUACUUCACGACAAGGUGAACCAAGAGUUGAUACGGAAGCAUCCACAAGUGGGACACACCAAGAUGAAGAAAACGAGGAAGUGCAUCAAGAUGAACGUCAACAACCUCCUUCUCCACCACGACAAGAGAACGACAACGCCAACAAUGAAGAAGGCCAAGAAGAAGAACAUGAUGAAGAAGAUGUUCAACGAAGACCCAAGCAAAAGCUUUCACGAGUUCGAGCAAGAAUUGCUAAAGACCAUCCCGUCGAGCAAAUCUACAAUGAUAUUCAAACCGGGAGAAUCACUCGCUCUAAAACUCGUUUAGCUAACUUUUGUGAAAACUAUUCUUUCAUCUCUAGCAUUGAACCUACGAAGGUCGAAGAAGCAUUGGAACAUCCGGAUUGGAUAAAUGCUAUGCAUGAAGAGCUACACAACUUUGAGAGGAACCAAGUUUGGACAUUGGUUGAGAAGCCCGACAACAACCACAACAUCAUCGGUACCAAAUGGGUGUUUCGCAACAAGCAAGAUGAAGAUGGACAAGUAGUUUGCAACAAAGCACGUCUCGUCGCCCAAGGCUACACACAAGUCAAAGGUAUGGACUAUGGUGAGACUUACGCCCCCGUUGCUAGACUUGAGUCCAUUCGCAUCUUACUUGCCUAUGCUAAUCACCAUGAUAUCACCUUGUACCAAAUGGACAUUAAAAGGGCUUUUCUAAAUGGUGAAAUAGAGGAGGAAGUUUAUGUUAAACAACCUCCCGGCUUUGUCAAUCCUAAGAAACCCAAUCAUGUUUACAAACUUCACAAAGCUCUUUAUGGACUUAAACAAGCUCCUAGAGCAUGGUAUAAAUGCUUGACCAAGUUCCUUAUUGAAAAAGGCUUUGAAAUUGGGAAAAUUGAUUCUACUCUUUUUACUAAAAGGGUUAAUGGUGAACUCUUUGUGUGCCAAAUUUAUGUUGAUGAUAUUAUAUUUGGUGCAACUAACCCUCAUUUUAGUGAAAAGUUUGGGAAGCUAAUGUCGGAGAAGUUUGAUAUGUGUAUGAUGAGUGAACUCAAAUUCUUUCUUGGGUUGCAAAUCAAGCAAACUAAGGAAGGUACUUUUGUCUCUCAAACGAAGUACACCAAGGACUUAUUCAAGAAGUUCAAUAUGAAAGAAUGCAAAGGUAUGACUACACCCAUGCCUACUAGUGGACAUCUUGACUUAGUCAAAGAUGAUGAACCGGUUGAUCAAAAGGUUUAUUGCUCUAUGAUUGGUUCAUUGUUAUAUCUAUGUGCUUCACGUCCCGAUAUUAUGCUAAGUGUGUGCAUGUGUGCACGAUAUCAAGCUGCUCCUAAAGAAUGUCAUCUUAAGGCCGUGAAAAGGAUAGUGAGAUACUUAAUCCAUACACCAAAUUUUGGCAUUUGGUAUCCUAAGAGGGCCUAUUUCGAUCUUGUUGGCUAUUCCGACUCGGACUAUGCCGGAGACAAGGUUGAUAAAAGGUCCACUUCGGGUACUUGUCAAUUUCUUGGUAGAUCUCUUGUGUCUUGGUCCUCCAAGAAACAAAACUCGGUAUCCUUAUCCACCGUCGAAGCUGAAUAUAUUGCCGCUGGUUCAUGUUGUGCUCAAUUACUUUGGAUUACCCAAACUCUUAAAGAUUAUGGGAUAUAUGUGAGACAUGUUCCAUUGCUUUGUGAUAAUGAAAGUGCUAUCAAAAUUGGUCAUAAUCCUGUGCAACAUUCUCGAACUAAGCAUAUUGAAGUUCGUCAUCAUUUCAUUCGAGAUCAUGUUGCUAAGGGUGACAUUGAUCUUAAGCAUGUUCGCACCGAAAAGCAAUUAGCGGAUAUAUUCACUAAACCUCUUGAUGAGAAAGUGUUUUGCAGGUUGAGAGGAGAAUUGAACAUCAUAGAUGCUUCAAACUUAGAGUAG
rnacentral:rRNA from 1 species